rnacentral:rRNA from 1 species
UACAGAGGUCUCAAGCGUUGUUCGGAUUCAUUGGGCGUAAAGGGUGCGUAGGCGGCGCGGUAAGUCGGGUGUGAAAUCUCGGGGCUUAACUCCGAAACUGCAUUCGAUACUACCGUGCUUGAGGACUGGAGAGGAGACUGGAAUUUACGGUGUAGCGGUGAAAUGCGUAGAUAUCGGGAGGAACACCUGUGGCGAAAGCGGCGCACUGGACCACAUCUGACGCUGAGGCGCGAAAGCUAGGGGAGCAAACAGG